rnacentral:lncRNA from 1 species
AGGGACUCCGCGCCCCGCAGACUCAGUGUAGAUCUAGUCUAGAGCCCAAGUUUCGCUUUUGGAAAUUGUCAAGGUGACUAAGGGAACACUCUUUCCUUUGACCAGUCAGUGCAAUAAACGAACAGCGCAGGAGAUUUUUCCAGAUACGUGCCAAAGGCAAGUUGGACCAUGCGGACGAUGUCUGGCAGGUGCAAAAGGAGCCCUUUAAAUCGUGGGCUUCUCCCUUCCUGAAAUCCAACCAAUGACGCGGCGAGAGCUGAUCCCGAGGCCGGGGCUGAUAGACAGAAGCAUGUGGGCAGACAGAAUCGUGGGGGCAGAAGGUUCAGCAGACGCGAUUGCGGGCACCAGUUAACAUUCCAGAUCAUUCCCGGUACCUUCAUUAUUAGCCUGGAUAGGGGUAAAGUACAAAUUAACUCUUUUGUCUUACAACGGAUAUUGGUUUGAAUCCAGCAGACAUUCCCUCUGGCCCAGAAACACCCAGGGCAGUUAAUCAGGGCUAACCUAGAACUGAUCUACGGGUUUCUAAUCCGCCAAGCAGUAAUCCGAAAAAGUACACGCUUCCCACGAUGACGUCGUGCCCCCAACGAACGCAGGCACGCCCAGGCAUCAGCACUUUAUAUCUUCAGUUUUGUAGGAAGUUCUCUGACUGGAAGCAAACACAACGACUCAAACCUAUCCCAAAGUAUUUUUAAAAUAGUGUCUUUUUUUAAAAAGUAAACUAGAAAUUGUCAUCAGAAAAAUAUAAAAUGAUGUGUCAAACUGA